AUGCCGGUGUCCCCCGUUAAUGAUGAAGAGCCGAAUGCCGGCCUGUCACGCCGGAGGUCGCGGGUUCGAGUCCCGUCCGGUCCGCCA
rnacentral:tRNA from 1 species